GGGUUGGGUUCCGUGCUUGUAACACAAGCUAGUGUGCCUUUCCACCUUGACUUUGUACACGUUUGCUUAUUUAUAUGCAUUCGGGUGUCUCUUGCCCAUUGACAUUGUGGACGAUGCUACCAUUGAAGCGGCACAGGUUUCCACCCCUGCAGUCUGCAACAGAUGCAUGCAAGAACAACCACGCCCCAUGGCCAGAGGGCUGGGGUUCACUAGAACCCUACUGAACCACUGUAGCUACGCCACUGUGCCAGACAAACAUGCAGUCCUACAAGUGAUCCAUUUCAAUCUUUGAUGAGAAAUGCCUGCAAUGAAAACUUAAUUGAAACAGAGACUUAUUCUAAUAAGG